rnacentral:ncRNA from 1 species
GUGAGAAUGCCCUCAAUCCCCUGACUUUACUACAAGCUUUAACCCAAUUUAUACAUGCAAGUAUCCGCAUCCCUGUGAGAAUGCCCUCAAUCCCCUGCCCGGGGACGAGGAGCUGGCAUCAGGCACGCAUUUAUAGCCCAAGACGCCUUGCUAAGCCACACCCUCAAGGGAAUUCAGCAGUAAUAAACAUUAAGCCAUAAGUGAAAACUUGACUUAGUCAGGGUUAAAAGGGUCGGUAAAAUUCGUGCCAGCCACCGCGGUUAUACGAAAGACCCUAGUUUAUAGGUACGGCGUAAAGGGUGGUUAGGGGACAAACAAAAUAAAGCCAAAGACCUCCUAAGCCGUCAUACGCUCACGGAAGCACGAAGCCCAAACACGAAAGUAGCUUUACCGAACAUGCCCGACUCCACGAAAGCUGGGGAACAAACUGGGAUUAGAUACCCCACUAUGCCCAGCCCUAAACUUAGAUGAAAUCUUACAAAAUCAUCCGCCAGGGGACUACAAGCACAGCUUAAAACCCAAAGGACUUGGCGGUGCCUCAGACCCACCUAGAGGAGCCUGUUCUAGAACCGAUAAUCCCCGUUAAACCUCACCACCCCUUGUUUUCCCCGCCUAUAUACCGCCGUCGCCAGCUUACCCUGUGAAGGCCUAACAGUAAGCAAAAUGGGUUUGACCCAGAACGUCAGGUCGAGGUGUAGCGCAUGAGGUGGGAAGAAAUGGGCUACAUUUUCUACCACAGAAUAUCACGAAUGGUGUCCUGAAAUAUGACACUUGAAGGAGGAUUUAGUAGUAAAAAGCAAAUAGAGUGUCUUUUUGAAUUAGGCUCUGAGGCGCGCACACACCGCCCGUCACUCUCCCCUUUUCAUUACAACCAACUAAACAUAACUAAUCACACAUAUUAAUCCACGGGGAGGCAAGUCGUAACAUGGUAAGNNNNNNNNNNNNNNNNNNNNNNNNNNN